rnacentral:rRNA from 1 species
AGGACUAACGCUGGCGGCGUGCCUAACACAUGCAAGUCGAACGGGGUAGCAAUACCCAGUGGCAGACGGGUGAGUAACACGUGGUCAACCUACCUCUGUGUGGGGGAUAACUAGCCGAAAGGUUAGCUAAUACCGCAUACGAUCGUUUUGAGGCAUCUCGAGACGAUGAAAGGAGCAAUCCGCACGGAGAGGGGACUGCGUCCCAUUAGUUAGUUGGUGGGGUAACGGCCUACCAAGACUCCGAUGGGUAGCUGGCUUGAGAGAGCGACCAGCCACACUGGAACUGAGAAACGGUCCAGACUCCUACGGGAGGCAGCAGUGAGGAAUUUUCCGCAAUGGGCGAAAGCCUGACGGAGCGACGCCGCGUGUGGGAUGAAGGCCUUCGGGUCGUAAACCACUGUCGAAGGGGACGAUAAUGACGGUACCCUUGGAGGAGCCCGGCUAACUACGUGCCAGCAGCCGC